UAAGCGGAGGAAAAGAAACCAACAGGGAUUGCCCCAGUAACGGCGAGUGAAGCGGCAAAAGCUCAAAUUUGAAAUCCUGCGGGAAUUGUAAUUUGAAGGUUUCGUGGUCUGAGUCGGCCGCGCCCAAGUCCAUUGGAACAUGGCGCCUGGGAGGGUGAGAGCCCCGUAUGGCGCACGCCGACUCUUUGUACACCGCGGCUCCGACGAGUCGAGUUGUUUGGGAAUGCAGCUCUAAGUGGGUGGUAAAUUCCAUCUAAAGCUAAAUAUUGGCGAGAGACCGAUAGCGAACAAGUACAGUGAUGGAAAGAUGAAAAGCACUUUGAAAAGAGAGUGAAACAGCACGUGAAAUUGUUGAAAGGGAAGGGCUUGCAAGCAGACACGGUUUUACCGGGCCAGCGUCGAAAAGGGGGGAGGAACAAGAACUCGAGAAUGUGGCGCGCACCUUCGGGCGCGCGUGUUAUAGCUCGUGUUGACGCCUCCAUCCCUUUUCGAGGCCUGCGAUUCUAGGACGCUGGCGUAAUGGUUGCAAGCCGC
rnacentral:rRNA from 1 species